UACGUAGGGUGCAAGCGUUGUCCGGAAUUAUUGGGCGUAAAGAGCGUGUAGGCGGCCCGACCAGUCCGCUGUGAAAGUCCAGGGCUCAACCCUGGAAUGCCGGUGGAUACUGUCGGGCUAGAGUCCGGAAGGGGCGAGUGGAAUUCCUGGUGUAGCGGUGAAAUGCGCAGAUAUCAGGAGGAACACCAAUGGCGAAGGCAGCUCGCUGGGACGUGACUGACGCUGAGACGCGAAAGCGUGGGGAGCGAACAGG
rnacentral:rRNA from 1 species